rnacentral:misc_RNA from 1 species
AACGCACAUUGCGCCCACUAGUAUUCUGGUGGGCAUGCCUGUUCGAGCGUCAUUUCGACCAUUAAGCCCUGUUGCUUAGUAUUGGGAACCUACUGUAGCAGUAGUUCCUGAAAGCUAGUGGCGGAGUCACGGCGUGCUCUCAGCGUAGUAAUAUCUUCUCGCUCGUGAAUAGCCUUGGCCCCAGCCAUAAACCUUUUAUAAUAUCCAAUGGUUGACCUCGGAUCAGGUAGGAAUACCCGCUGAACUUAA